rnacentral:lncRNA from 1 species
AAGCUUCUUUCUUCUUUUUUAUUUGUCCUUCUUUCGAGAAGCACUAACGUGUUCCGCCAGAUCGUUCCAUUGAAAAGUACAUCACUUACGUAGACGGCUUGUCACCACUGCCAAUCUGGGGCCUCCCGCGCGACCUUUCUGCCAUUGACGAAUCAAGAUUCGCUGGCAGAUACGCUAGAGCCAAGAGCUUCGCCACAACGUCGUGGGUUUUGGUCAACUCGUUCGAAGAACUCGAGGGCAGUGCCACCUUCCAAGCCCUCCGAGACAUCUCUCCCAAAGCAAUCGCUGUGGGUCCUCUUUUCACCAUGGCCCCCGGCUGCAACAAGGCAAGCUUGUGGAAGGAAGACACCGAGAGUUUAUCCUGGCUCGGCAAGCAAAGUCCCGGCUCGGUUCUCUACAUUUCCUUGGGCACCAUCGCGACUCUCAGCUUCGAUCAGUUCAAGGAGUUCUCCGAGGGACUGAGGCUUCUCCAGCGUCCGUUUAUCUGGGCCAUCCGACCCAAGUCGGUCGCCGGCAUGGAGCCCGAGUUCCUGGAGCGUUUCAAGGAGGCCGUGAGGAGCUUUGGACUGGUUGUGAGCCGGGCUCCUCAGGUGGACAUCCUCCGCCACCCUUCCACGGCUGGAUUUCUCAGUCACUGCGGCUGGAACUCCAUCCUCGAGAGCGUAGCAUCCGCGGUGCCCAUGCUUUGCUGGCCGUGCGUCGCGGAGCAGAAUCUAAACUGCAAGUUGAUAGUGGAGGACUGGAAGAUCGGUCUCAAGUUCUCGUGCGUGACCAUGCCGGAUCCUCCCGAGGUGAUGGCGAGGGACGAGUUUGUGGAGGUGGUGGAGCGAUUCAUGGGAACUGACAGUGAGCAUUUGAGGAUUAACGUGAAGAAGCUGAGCGAGGAGGCUCGUAGAGCAGUGUCUAGUGGUGGCUCCUCAUAUGAAAACCUGGAGAGAUUUGCUCAAGCAGUGAAAAUUUCCUAAACUUCAAUCCAAAGCUAAGAGAAAACUUCAAAGCAUCUACUCUAUUCAAGAAUAUACUACAGUUCUUUCUCUCUCUCUCUGAAGAUAAGCACGCGCUUUGCGCGUAUAAUGGGUUCCAAGGUCAAUGUUGUCGCAAUUCCUCUCCCAGCUCAAGGCCACAUCUCUCCACUCUUGCAUCUCUGCCAAGCUCUCACUUUCAUCCUUUGGGGGAUGCUAUCUCCGAAACACACAACCAUGAGGGAAUGUGCUGGACUUUGUCACGUGCAAGAACCCAUGGCCAAUGUGCUAGUGUAGACUCCAAGGUGAUGCCUUAUGUCAGAAACUGAUGCAAAAAGAAGAAACUAAAGAAAAACAAAAAAAAUAAUAAUAAGAAGAAAGAGAGUGUAAAGUUCUGGAGUCAAAAGGGAACCAUAUGAGGAAAUUUGAUAAAAGAACUAAACACUAAAAAAUGGAAAAACAAAAAGUGAAAAAAACUAAAGAGCAAGGAACAGCUUAAAGAAGAGCUCUAGAGGCCAGUUAUAAUGGCCAUUUGUCUCAAGUUGGUCCCUGGCAUAGAGCCUGAGUUCCUGGAGGCUUUCAAGGCUCUCCUUGAAAGUGAUCAGCUUUGGACUGGUUGUGAGCUGGGCUCCUCAACCGGAAAUCCUCCAGCAUCCUUCCACAGGCUGCGAGAGUGUAUCUUCAGCAGUGCCAAUCCUUUGCUGGUCAUGAGUUGCCGAGCAGAAUCUCAACUGCAAGCUUAUAGUGGAAAACUGGAAGAUCGAUCUUAAGUUCUCACCCAUGAGAGAUCCUUGCAAGGUGGUGGCAGGGAUGAGUUUGUGGAGGUGGUGGAGCAACUCAUGGGAGCUGAGAGUGGCGAUUCCUUUAGAUGUAAUGUGAAGGAGCUCAGCGAGGCUGCUCAGGGAGCAACAGUGAAAGAAGUCAAGAUCUUCAUAUGAAAGUUUGGACAAGUUUGUCAAGUUUCAUAAGGUAAUUUAUAUCCAAUGCCGCAGCUGGUGGCAGGACGAUCAUCGGGCAUGAGGGCGGGGCCAAUGCACAGACAGACCAACCACCAAGAGCACAUAAAGAUGAUACUUGAAAGUGUAUAGGUUGGUGGAAGUGUUAUUUUCCUUCCCAAAGAAAUAGAUGGCGUAAUCAAGAGGAGUAAAACAUUCCUGAAGGAGAACACUAGAUUAAAACCUUUGCAAAACGCACUGAUUCUUAAGCUCAGCCUUGGAGCGAUUUCAAGCUUAUCCAGAAAAGGUAUUGUGAGAAACGGCAGCACCUUCCAGAGCACUCACGAAGUAAGCUUGAAUUUUCUUUGUUCUUCGUCAAUGGGUUCUUCUACUGGUGCCGAGGGGCUCGCUCCUCACGCAGCGGUUCUUCCCAUUCCAACGCUACGCCACAUCACUCCAUUCCUCCAUCUCUCCAGAGCUCUGGCCUCGCGAGGCUUCGUCAUAACUUUCAUCAACACGGAGGGCAACCACAGGGACCUGAAGGACAUCGUUUCACAGGAGGAGAGCUUUGGCUAUGGCGGCGGCAUUCGCUUCGAGACGGUCCCGGGCAUCCAAGCGAGCGACGUCGACUUCGCGGUCCCGGAGAAGCGGGGGAUGUUCUCCGAGGCAGUGAUGGAGAUGCAGGCUCCAGUGGAAAGCUUGCUCAUCAGGAACAUGGCCAGAGACGAUGAUCUCGUUCCUCCGGUCUCGUGCUUCAUCUCGGAUAUGUUCCCGUGGUCCGCGGAAGUAGCAAGAAGGACUGGAAUCCCAGAGGUCAAGUUCUGGAUCGCCAGUGCCUCUUGCGUUUUGCUCGAUUGCUCGUUUCCGCGAAUGCUGGAGAAGGGAGACGUUCCAGUCCAAGGUAAAGCUUCUUUCUUCUUUUUUAUUUGUCCUUCUUUCGAGAAGCACUAACGUGUUCCGCCAGAUCGUUCCAUUGAAAAGUACAUCACUUACGUAGACGGCUUGUCACCACUGCCAAUCUGGGGCCUCCCGCGCGACCUUUCUGCCAUUGACGAAUCAAGAUUCGCUGGCAGAUACGCUAGAGCCAAGAGCUUCGCCACAACGUCGUGGGUUUUGGUCAACUCGUUCGAAGAACUCGAGGGCAGUGCCACCUUCCAAGCCCUCCGAGACAUCUCUCCCAAAGCAAUCGCUGUGGGUCCUCUUUUCACCAUGGCCCCCGGCUGCAACAAGGCAAGCUUGUGGAAGGAAGACACCGAGAGUUUAUCCUGGCUCGGCAAGCAAAGUCCCGGCUCGGUUCUCUACAUUUCCUUGGGCACCAUCGCGACUCUCAGCUUCGAUCAGUUCAAGGAGUUCUCCGAGGGACUGAGGCUUCUCCAGCGUCCGUUUAUCUGGGCCAUCCGACCCAAGUCGGUCGCCGGCAUGGAGCCCGAGUUCCUGGAGCGUUUCAAGGAGGCCGUGAGGAGCUUUGGACUGGUUGUGAGCCGGGCUCCUCAGGUGGACAUCCUCCGCCACCCUUCCACGGCUGGAUUUCUCAGUCACUGCGGCUGGAACUCCAUCCUCGAGAGCGUAGCAUCCGCGGUGCCCAUGCUUUGCUGGCCGUGCGUCGCGGAGCAGAAUCUAAACUGCAAGUUGAUAGUGGAGGACUGGAAGAUCGGUCUCAAGUUCUCGUGCGUGACCAUGCCGGAUCCUCCCGAGGUGAUGGCGAGGGACGAGUUUGUGGAGGUGGUGGAGCGAUUCAUGGGAACUGACAGUGAGCAUUUGAGGAUUAACGUGAAGAAGCUGAGCGAGGAGGCUCGUAGAGCAGUGUCUAGUGGUGGCUCCUCAUAUGAAAACCUGGAGAGAUUUGCUCAAGCAGUGAAAAUUUCCUAAACUUCAAUCCAAAGCUAAGAGAAAACUUCAAAGCAUCUACUCUAUUCAAGAAUAUACUACAGUUCUUUCUCUCUUUCUCUGAAGAUAAGCACGCGCUUUGCGCGUAUAAUGGGUUCCAAGGUCAAUGUUGUCGCAAUUCCUCUCCCAGCUCAAGGCCACAUCUCUCCACUCUUGCAUCUCUGCCAAGCUCUCACUUUCAUCCUUUGGGGGAUGCUAUCUCCAAAACACACAACCAUGAGGGAAUGUGCUGGACUUUGUCACGUGCAAGAACCCAUGGCCAAUGUGCUAGUGUAGACUCCAAGGUGAUGCCUUAUGUCAGAAACUGAUGCAAAAAGAAGAAACUAAAGAAAAACAAAAAAAAUAAUAAUAAGAAGAAAGAGAGUGUAAAGUUCUGGAGUCAAAAGGGAACCAUAUGAGGAAAUUUGAUAAAAGAACUAAACACUAAAAAAUGGAAAAACAAAAAGUGAAAAAAACUAAAGAGCAAGGAACAGCUUAAAGAAGAGCUCUAGAGGCCAGUUAUAAUGGCCAUUUGUCUCAAGUUGGUCCCUGGCAUAGAGCCUGAGUUCCUGGAGGCUUUCAAGGCUCUCCUUGAAAGUGAUCAGCUUUGGACUGGUUGUGAGCUGGGCUCCUCAACCGGAAAUCCUCCAGCAUCCUUCCACAGGCUGCGAGAGUGUAUCUUCAGCAGUGCCAAUCCUUUGCUGGUCAUGAGUUGCCGAGCAGAAUCUCAACUGCAAGCUUAUAGUGGAAAACUGGAAGAUCGAUCUUAAGUUCUCACCCAUGAGAGAUCCUUGCAAGGUGGUGGCAGGGACGAGUUUGUGGAGGUGGUGGAGCAGCUCAUGGGAGCUGAGAAUGGCGAUUCCUUUAGAUGUAAUGUGAAGGAGCUCAGCGAGGCUGCUCAGGGAGCAACAGUGAAAGAAGGCAGGAUCUUCAUAUGAAAGUUUGGACAAGUUCGUCAAGUUUCAUAAGGUAAUUUAUAUCCAAUGCCGCAGCUGGUGGCAGGACGAUCAUCGGGUAUGAGGGCGGGGCCAAUGCACAGACAGACCAACCACCAAGAGCACAUAAAGAUGAUACUUGAAAGUGUAUAGGUUGGUGGAAGUGUUAUUUUCCUUCCCAAAGAAAUAGAUGGCAUAAUCAAGAGGACUAAAAAAUUCCUGAAGGAGAACACUAGAAUAAAACCUUUGCAAAACGCACUGAUUCUUAAGCUCAGCCUUGGAGCCAGAAAGAAACGGCAGCACCUUCAUGAAGUAAGCUUGAAUUUCCUUUGUUCUUCGUCAAUGGGUUCUUCUACUGGUGCCGAGGGGCUCGCUCCUCACGCAGCGGUUCUUCCCAUUCCAACUCUAGGCCACAUCACUCCAUUCCUCCAUCUCUCUAGAGCUCUGGCCUCGCGAGGCUUCGUCAUAACUUUUAUCAACACGGAGGGCAACCACAGGGACUUGAAGGACAUCGUUUCACAGGAGGAGAGCUUUGGCUCUGGUGGCAGCAUUCGUUUCGAGACGGUCCCCGGGGUCCAAACGAGCGAGGCCGACUUCACGGCCCCGGAGACGCGGCCAAUGUUCUUCGAGGCAUUGAUGGCGAUGCAGGGUCCAGUGGAGAGCUUGCUCGUCAGGAGCAUGGCAAGAGACGAUGAUCUCGUUCCUCCGGUCUCAUGCUUCAUCUCGGAUAUGUUGUUCCCGUGGUCCACGGAAGUACCCAGAAGGAUCGGAAUCCCAGAGGUCAAGUUCUGGGUCGCCAGUGCUUCUUGCGUUUUGCUCUACUCCUCGUAUCCCCAAAUGCUGGAGAAGGGAGACAUUCCAGUCCAAGGUAAAGCUGCUUUCUUCUUUUUUAUUUUUCCUUCUUUCGAGAAGCACUGACGUCCAUAUACGUGUUCCACCAGAUCGUUCCAUUGAGAAGCGCAUAACUUACGUAGACGGCUUGUCACCACUACCAAUGUGGAGCCUCCCGGGCGACUUUUCUGCCAGUGACGACGACCCGGGAUUCGCUCGCGGAUACGCCAGAGCCAAGAGCUUCGCCACAACGUCGUGGGUUUUGGUCAACUCGUUCGAAGAACUCGAGGGCAGUGCCACCUUCCAAGCUCUCCGAGACAUCUCUCCCAAAGCAAUCGCAGUGGGUCCACUUUCCACCAUGGUCCCCGGCUCCAGCAAUGCAAGCUUGUGGACGGA